CCUCUACAGCAGAUGACACCAUCACGAAUACCUGAAGUUGUCCGGGAGUUGCAGCAAACCUGUGCUGCAGGCCUAGCUCACCAUCGUGAUGGACGAAUCCCUCCCAUCUGGAUCUGAGUAGGCACAUGGUGAGCUGAGACUUCUGCCUUUCCACUAAACUCUGUUCAUUUUAUUGCAGCCUCGUCCUCCCAGCUCACCUCCCUGCAAUUCGCCUUUCAUCCACCUAAUGCAGCCAGUCUGCCACCUCACUUGGGGGAAGGAUGGACUGAAUAUGCUGGAGCCAUCAGGGAGCUCCCUCCUGUAGAGGUCCUAGACUGAGCUGGCAGAAGAGAAGUGUUCCUGCCAAGCUCCUGUAGCUCUCCAGCAUGAUGUACAGCGAAUUAAACAGAGAUCGAAUCCUGGAAAAGCUGCAAGGGCACCGCCUCGGAGAAGAACCCGGUAAAUAAACAAGAAGCAGAGUGGGAAAUUAUUAAAAUAUAGAAAGGAAGUGGGAAUAUUUAUAGCCCUCUGCCUUGAAGGAAGGCCUCCAGUGCCUGGAGAGUAGAGAUGUUUUGCAUAUGAACUUUCUCAUUCCCUGGAUCAGCUUUUCGAGAAGGGCUUUUGUUUGUUUUAUAUUUAAUUCACUGGUUUACUGCUGGAAUUCUAACACUACAGGCAGCCAAAUGUCACUCAAGUUAAAUAUUUAAACAUUUGGAAUUGUAAACAUAUGGUAAAUUAAACACAGAGAGCUUCAUGUGAAGUGGGGAUAGUCAAUGUCAAAGUAAUUUUGCAACUUUAAAUCCAGUGAUGGCAUUUGAAUGUAGAAAGCCCCACAGAUGAUCCUGCCUGUGUGCUUGGGCAGAUUUGGUACAUCUGGUGUGCAGAUCUGGUCACCCCAUCUCAAAAAAGACAUACUGGAAUUGGAAAAGGGUCAGAGAAGGGCAACAAGAAUG